CUGGACCAUCCAACUUCAUCUGCGGCUUGUUUUGCCUCUAGGUGUAAUCAUGUUAUGUGAGCCUCAGGUCAAUGAACCAGAGAUCUGGAAUUAACAAUGAGGUGGGAGGAAUUAAGACUGAAGCAUGUAAAUCUGAACACUGGGACCCAUAAUUAUCUUAGGAAAGUUCCUUGAAUGGUAGAAAACAAAUCUGGUUCAUAAUAUAUUCUACUACUAAAAUGUUAAAUAGGACUACUUAGGUAUUUAUAUGAUUGACAUAAUUAUAACUCUAGCCAAUAGAGACAAUUAUUUGAUACAAAGCACAAUGCCUUUUUUUUUUUUUUUUUUUUUUUUUUUUUUUUUUUUUGGCCACACCCGAGGCAUAUGGAGGUUGCCAGCCUAGGGGUCAAAUUGGAGCUACAGCUGCCGGCCUAGGCCACAACCACAGCAAUGCCAGAUCCAAGCUGCAUCUGCAACCCACACCACAGCUCACAGCAAUACCAGAUCCUUAACCCACUGACCGAGGCCAGGGCUUGAACCUGCAACAUCAUGGUUCCUAGUCAGAUUCAUUUCCACUUCACCACAAUGGGAAUGCCCUACAAUGCCCUUUAAACAAUCCUUUAUUGAAGGUUCAGUGGUUAAAUGACUAUGCUGGGUCCUUGGGGCAGGGUGACGUGUUGAAGAUGGGUUCUUUUUUUCACUACUGCACUCAUUCUGCUCUGGGCAUAGAAGGUUUUGGCUGUUCCUCCAGCUCAUGAGGGCACUCCUGCCCUCGGACCUAUGGUCUGUACCUGGAGCACUCUGGCCCAGGUAGAUGACCUGCUGCUUCACCUUAUUCAAGUCUUUGCACAUGUGUCACCUUCUAAAUGAGAUGAACUACCUCCCUGAACCACCCCUUUUGAGGCUUCAAUCCUCCCUCACAUACCCUGGUGUUCCUUGUUGCCCCUGCUGUGCUUUAUUUUUCUUCAUACAACUUACUCCCGAUAUUUUAAUUAAUUAGCUUAUUGAAUGGACACCCUCACCCCAUCAACUCUAUUACAGCAGAUAUUUUUAUGUGUUUUGUCUACUGAUAUAUGUGCAAAUCAAGGCUGUAAAUGUUCAGUGAAUAUUGGUGAAUGAAUAAAUGAAUGAUUACACGAAUGAAUGAAGGUGAGAAUGGGGGAAAUCACUGUAGCAUGAAGCUUGAGCUAAUAGGAGCCGGGAAGAAGAUAAGUAAUAAGUUAUGGGGCUACAGCAGAAAAAGUGAUCCUAACCCAGCAGCAAAUUUUUGGGGAGGCAUGACAGGGAGUGAAACUUCUGAGUUGGUCCACAUAAGAGGAAGCAUGAGAAAAGAGUAAAAUUUUACAUGUGUAGAAGCAAGAGAUUGAGUAAAAGCACAGAUGAACAGUUAGCUGGACAUCUGGAGUUUUGAUGUAUCUUAAGAAUCAGGUGUAUGGAAUUAUGUAGUAAGAAGAGCUAAAAAGCUUCAUGCAUCAGCCAGAUUGUUCUUGGCUGUGAGGACUAAAACCAUGAAUGAAAUGAUAUCCUUAGAACACUGGCAUAAUCAGUUAGACAUAUACUCCCUCUCACAGCUGUACCCCCCUCGCAGGGCUGCCUCAGACUGAGACGAGUUGGCAGCUCAGUGAUACCAUCCAGGACCCACGUUCUUUCCAUCUCUCCACACCCUUCAAACUUUGCAUAAGUUUCCUCCUCAGGUUGAUUCAAAAAUGACUGCUGCGAUUUUAGGCCUCACAUUUUCACUAUUAACAGAGGAAGAAGGUAGACUCUUUUCUCUUCCUGUGGGUUUACCUUAGAAAUGAUAAGCCUUUAUCAGAGGACACUUGGCACACUUUCUUUCACAUGUCAUAGACCAGAGUUGCACCACAAGCCCAUUUCUGAGUAGCUUCUUCAUUUGGAAAUACUCAGCCCAUCUAAUGUCACCAGUCACUGUUCUAGGCAUUGUAAAAUACUAGACCAUUAAAUGACAUGAAACCCAUGCCCUCAUGGAGUUUAUAUUCUGGUUGGAGAAACCAGAAACACACAGACUGCGAGAAGGAUUGAGAUGGCAGAAGAAUAAGAGGGCCUGCUCACCCUCUCCCACAAACACACCAAAAAAACACAUGUACCUGUGGAAGGUUUCACACAGAUCAUCUACUGAAUGCUGGCAGAAGAACUUAAACCUCCAAAAAGGGCAAGAAAUCCUCCACCUAACUGGGUAGAACAAAAGGAAAACACACAAGCUAACAAAAUAUAUGAUGUCAGAUUAGAAAUUCUAUAAACACAAUCAAAGUAGUGUAAGAGACAGGAGCUUUAUCCACUCUCUUGAGAUAAAACAUGAUGGACGAUAAUAUGACAAAAAGAAAAAAAUAUAUAUAUAUAUAUUCAUAUAUAUGUGUGAAUGACUGGGUCACUGUGCCAUACAGCAGAAAUUGACACGACGUGGUAAAUCAAAACUACACUUUAAUGAAAAAUAAAGGGGAAGAGGUUUGGGUUGUGUGGGCAGAGAAAGAGUCUCUGCGAAAAUGACAUUUAAGCAGAGACUUGAGUGAAUUGAAGGAAGGAGCCCUGUGAAGAUCUGAAAAAAGCUCUUUCUAUACAGAGAACAGCCAGUCCAGAGCCCUGAACCAGCAAUGAGUUUGGUAAUGUUCAAGAAACACCGUGGAAGGCGAAGUAGCUAGAACAGAAUAAGACAAGUAGGAUAUGUAAGGAGAUGAGGUGAGAGAAUUUGCAAAGGGGGCAGAUCAUGAUGGGUCCUCUAGGCCUUAGUAAGGAUGCGGGGUUGUAUCCUAAGGGGGAUAGGAAGGCAUUGAAUGAUUUUGAAGAGAAGAGUGGUGUGAUCCAAUUUACAUUUUGAAAGGGAUCUCUCUGUCUACAGAGAAAUGAUUGUGGGGAAAAGUGCAGAAGAUGAGAUAGGCGACCAGAACAGAAGUACAGGAUUAAAAAAAAGAAAGAAAGAAAAAGAAAAAACUGCCUGAAGAAGGAUGAUCAUAAAGACAAUCAGAAGUGGUUGGAUUGGAGUUCCCACCGUGGCUCAGCAGAAACAAAUCUGACUGGCAUCCAUGAGGGCACAGUUUCAAUCCCUGGUCUCACUCAGUAGGUUAAGGAUCUGGGGUUGCCAUGAGCUGUGGUGUAGGUCGCAGUAUGGCUCAGAUCUGGCAUUGCUGUGGCUGUGGCUAUAGCUCUGAUUCAACCCCUAGCCUGGGAGCCUCCAUAUGCUGCCAUGCAGUCCUAAAAAGAAAAAAAAAAAAAAAAAAAAAAAA
ensembl:lncRNA